AAAAAUGCUCAACCCUUCAUCAUAUCUGAGAGGGCACUCCCAACGAAGCCUUUCGAAAUAUUCAGCUUUCUUUCCCCUCGAUAAUACCUCUGCAAACAAGCUAUACUAGAGCAAGAAUAUCUCAUAUCAUCAGGGUUAAAAGCAAGAGUAUCCCAUAUCAUGCUUUUUCCCUGUCUUUUCCUUUGGCCUUGUUUUUACCUGCAAGACAAGGAGAAAGAGAGCAAUCAGUCAGCACUUGGAAUCAAGCUUCCAGCCAGGAACUGACUGCCUGGAACCCCUUACCUGAUUACUUACCUGGCAUUGCUCUCGAGUACUCAUCUUCAACAUCUUAUGU
rnacentral:lncRNA from 1 species